UAUAAUGAAAUCCCAACAUUUCUGAACUAGAAGCGUUUUCUCUCUAAGGGAUGGGAUUACUGGGUUGGCAAUUUCUCUUAAUCUGAAAAAAAAAAAAUCCCCCCCCCCAUCCUCUUUCAAUCUUCUCCUUUCCCGAGAGAGACGCACGUACUCUCUCACCAUUUUAUCUGAGUGGAAAGUUGAAAGGGAGCAACACACCGGCUGCACCCAUCCAGCGCUCCUUGGGGUGGAAUAGCAAAGUUCUAGGGCAGAGCCUUCCUGCCCGGAGCCGGCGAUGCAGCCGCUCUCCGCUACCUGCUCAGCUUCACGCCGCAUCUGAAGGUCCGCCCGCCGCGGAACAGUUGCGUCUCCAUCUGGCUGCCAACCCACCCAAGCUUUCUUCUCUUCCACCACCACCACCUUCCCUCCUUCCCCCCUCCUCCCCCUCCUUUCCGUCUUCCCUCUCCACCCCCGCCCCCAAUCUCCUCCUCUUUUUCUCACUACAAGCGGUUGCUGAUGCUGAAGCCGAGCGUCACUUCGGCUCCCACGGCAGACAUGGCGACAUUGACAGUGGUCCAGCCGCUCACUCUGGACAGAGAUGUUGCCAGAGCAAUUGAAUUACUGGAAAAACUACAGGAAUCUGGAGAAGUACCAGUGCACAAGCUACAAUCCCUCAAAAAAGUGCUUCAGAGUGAGUUUUGUACUGCUAUUCGAGAGGUGUAUCAAUAUAUGCAUGAAACGAUAACUGUUAAUGGCUGUCCUGAAUUCCGAGCCAGGGCCACAGCAAAGGCAACAGUUGCAGCUUUUGCAGCUAGUGAAGGCCACUCCCACCCUCGGGUAGUCGAACUGCCAAAGACUGAUGAAGGCCUCGGUUUUAACGUGAUGGGAGGAAAGGAGCAAAAUUCCCCCAUUUAUAUCUCUCGCAUCAUUCCUGGAGGGGUGGCCGAAAGACACGGAGGCCUCAAAAGGGGAGACCAGCUGCUAUCAGUGAACGGAGUGAGCGUGGAAGGGGAGCACCAUGAGAAAGCGGUGGAACUCCUCAAGGCUGCCAAAGACAGCGUCAAGCUGGUUGUCCGAUACACCCCCAAAGUCCUGGAAGAAAUGGAGGCCCGCUUCGAAAAGCUCCGGACGGCCCGGCGUCGACAGCAGCAGCAGCUGCUAAUUCAGCAGCAGCAACAGCAGCAGCAGCAACAAACACAGCAGAACCACAUGUCGUAGAGGAUACAGGAAAGUUCUAUUUAAAUGAACGUGAAAUUUAUAUUUAUGCCUGCCAAGACGGCCCUCGCUACGCACACGCUCGUGGCCCCUUGAGAUGAAACGGUGGUGGCCAUUUCAAGUACGAAUGAAGUACAACCGAGUCACGUCAUCUAUGGAUUUUAUGGUCCUUAAAGAGAAGCUACCUGAUCAAAGAUCGGAUAGUCACGAAUUCGAAACCGUGCUUCAGAAUCCCAGCACAUAGUAAAAGGAAAAGGCCACAUUGAUAAUUAUAGCUGUGAAGAAUCUGUGAACACGUGAUGUAUAAAUUCUUUACCAAGGCGACUCGACACCUUCUUUCUCUGGGGCUGAAUCCCACUGCUCCCGUGCUCUUUACACGCACAGACCUUCCAUUCACUGCAGUGGGAAUUCUCAGUGUGUAAAGGGAGAGGUUUUCCAGUCUGCAGGCUGAACUAGUACAAGAAGAAUCAAGUCCAUGACUUUCCAGAUAAAUCACCAGGCCACGAUGACGUGAGUCUUUGGUCUAUAGCUUUUCCAGAGAUUAACAAAUCCCUCAUUAGGCUAUAGUUCAAACUGCAUCAGUUCAAGGUUGUUACGACUUAAAAGAAACCUAAGCAUUGCCCGCAUUGCCCGGUACCUUGACCUCGUCCACAUCCAUAUUGCUGAACUGUCUGAAUUAGAAUUCCAGUUAAUUGCAAAUUCAACCUUUAUUCCCCUCUUGAAAAUGGCAAGUUAUACUAUUUAUACUCUGUUCGGGUUCUAGAAGCAGUUGGCUUUUUAUUUUGUUUCCAUGAAUUUAAUAUGGAGUGGGCCAGUUUUCACUCAACUUUUGGUUUGCUAGAGGCAAGGAUAGAGAACUCUAGUAGGGUAUUUUUUUUUAAUUUAAGUAUUGCUUGUAUCUAUGAUUAUGAAUUCUAACAGAAUAUAAUGUAUAUUUAUUCCACAAAAUAUAUAUUAUCAGAGUGUAUUUGCUACAAACUGAGGUCUUUUCUUACCAAAUGUUAUGAAUCUGGUAAGAGAACACUAACAAAGGACCUAACUUUUGGUUAAGUUUUAUACUUUGUGAUUCAUAAACUCUGGAGAAAUCUAAAUUCUUUCUACCUACACCAAUAUGUCGUUAUAGAAAUUUAUUUACUAUUUUAAAGCUUAGGGCUUUACAAAGUUCAAUUACGAUAUGUGUUCAAAUAUAUACAAAUAUAUAUGUCACAGAAAGUUUAAAUUAGUUUCCCCAAAGAUAAACUGGAUAUUUUUGGCAAUCUAAGACCAGAAGUAUUAUUCCUUUUAAAAUUAGGCAGAUGUAAACCAGGAUAUAAUAUUGUGAAUGAAGAGAAGCUGUUCCUUCUAGAGGGAAAAGAUGCCUAAUUCAUUACACAUACUCAUGUGGGAAAAUAGACAAAGAGAUAUCUUUCAGAAAGUAUCACUUGCUGGAAAAUGACCUGUUGAGAGCCCCCUAUACAGAUCAUCACUUUGACUUAUGAUAACUCUAAGUGCAUAAGUCUGACUUUACUCAUUGGGAUGAAUAGGAAGCAAUAAUCAUUUGGGCAUUUAAAUAACUGAGGCACAAAAAUGUACCUGAAGAAAGAAUAAAUGCUCAGUUGAAACAUUCUAGAUAAGGCAUUAAAACUGAGGCAAAUAUUUGAAUAUUCCCUUUUCUCAAAUGCAGAGAUUGAUUCCCCAGCAUAAAUAAAGUUUACAUUUCAGAUAGUCCCACAAAUUAGAAAUUGAUGAAGUUCAGUUCAAGAGCUAUUUCUUGAAAACAAAAUAAAACAAGUCAGAACUACCCAGCACAUUUUAUUUUGCCCUGUCAGGGGGCGUUAUUGUCAAUACCAAGUUCUGCCUACUCUUCACAGUACAUCAUCCAACAGAGAACAAAGAGGGAAGAAACUAGGAGGUACACCAAUUCCAACAACCAUCCUGAAAACAUAUCAUUUUUUUUACUGGAGAAAACUGGGCGGGGGCGGGGGGUGGGCAAAGGUGUGGACCCUGAAUGUUAUGUAAGAUAGGUUUACAGAAGAGCUAAGCAUGACUAAAGGGAGUGAAUGGAGACUCCGUGUAUUACUCAGUUUGAAAUAGUUCUCAUUUUUAUAAGAAAAAUUUAAUAAAACAUAUAUUUUAGUUAUCAUUUAACAAAGAAAUAUUAAAGCUAUUCAGGCGAUGCCACAGAUUCUCAUAAAGGGAAAUCAUUGCACCCUUGUAAUGAGAAAAUGGUCAUUUCAACACAUUUCAAUGCCUUGUAUAAAUUUGGAGCUUACGGUAUGUUUUCAUUUAGCCAUAACUGUAUGGUUGAUAUGAAAUUAUAUGUUUUCACAUCGAUAUAAAUAUUGUCACGGUGUUAUGGAAGCAGCUAUCAAAUGAGCAGAUACCUUACAUUUGUGUUUUCUAGAUAUCUUUGUAUGUUAUGCUUCAUUUGCAUAAUGUUAAAUGCUAAUAAAUGUAUGCCAAGUCCUUUGUCAAAGUGACGGGGCAAUCCAUCACACCUAAGGCAUCCAAAGACCGAUUACAGGUCACAGUGGUUACAUACAAAUGACCAAAUGGCCAGGUUUUUGUUUUUGUUUUUUUGUUGUUUUAUUGUUUUUUUUUUUCAGUAAAAUCUGGUUAUUGAAAUAUAACCCCCCCACUAAAGUUUUAUCAACAGUUUCUGUCCCUAAGACUUCGAGAUGCCCUUUUGUGGUUAAGUUUCACCCAAACCAGAAGGAAAGGGGAAAACAUUACCAUGUUCUUUAUCAUUAAUGAUCACAGUAGAGCCACUAACGUGUCCAAAAUCAUAUUAGAGACAUAUCAGUUUGCUCUUCCGUGAAUGUCACUCUUGAAUAUCAUAAAGAAAUUAGAUAUUCAAAGUUAGGGGGGAAGCUGGUAUGACUGUUCCUCGGUGAUCCUGGUGAAUUUGAGUUCUUUCCCUUAGGUUGGUGGCCAGAUUUUGCUAAACUCUUUCCUGCUGUGAUUUUGAAGGCCAGUACACAGAGUAUAGUUUAGUGAAAGAAUACCUGAACCUAUCCAUUUGGGGCAUUUACAUUUUGAUUCUGUUGCCAUUUUAAAUAGAAGAUCCGAGGGGAGAUAAUGAGCUUAAAUUACAAUUGACUUUGGAAAGAGUAACAGACUUUUGGGCUCCCUCAAUCAUGUAAUCAAUAGGGAAUUCUCUCCUUCUGUGAACUACCACUAUCUUUUAAGACAAUGCUAAAAUCUAAAUGUAAAAUCUAGCUUUCAGGGGCUUUUUAAGAAUUCAAGGCUGUCUCUGAAGAACUUGGCUAGAGAUGGAUUACAUCAAUUUACAAAUGCAGUUCUCAACCGUGACAAAUCAAACUGAUGGGAUCUCAGUUCGUUUUACUCAGCUGUGCCUUUAGGACUCCAAGACGUUGGGAUAUUUUGUCUACAUUAUCUUAAACAUCUAUAGAUAUUUGUGAAUGUGUGAAUAAUGCCUGAAUGUCUCCUCUUUUAGCUAGUUUGUAUUUCUUAUACAGACAUUUAAUAAGACCAGCUUUCGAUACCGUUGUGAAGUAGAAAUCAAUGCGCCGCGGAAGAUUUAGGGAAGCCAGCUUUAGGCAGUAUCUCCCCAAACACGGGGCCGUCCUACCCAGCGCGGCCCACUCUGGAUCAUAAACUCCACGAGGGAAAGGUCUGCGAGGGCUUUGUGGGUCUGCCAGAUCUCUGACAUCCGGUGUAGAGCCUGGCACACAAUAGGCGCUCAGUUGGUAUUUGUUGAAUGAAUGAACGAUUGGAUGUAGGUGGAUAGGCAAAUAAAUCAGUUUUGCCUUCAGAUAAUCUGAAAAAUUUCACCAGCGUACAGUAAUUGGCACUGUAAUUUCUGAAUUUCAUAGAACCAGAAUUGACUCUCUUCAUAAAUAAAUACUUUUCAGAUAGAUGAAUUUGGACUCAAUUACUUUAAAAGCUUCAAGGAUUUGAGGCCAUUUAGAUAAGGGAUAGUGUUUGAGGAUUAAGAAUUUUUAACAAUGAAGAAAGCUCAACAUUUCUAGUUCUUUAUGAAAGCUCCCUGAGUCAUUUUGCAAAGGCGAUUAAAACAUAGAACUCCAUUUAUGAGUUUUAUAAAAUAUUCUGUUUCAAUUUUUAAAAAAGGAAGAAAAGUCAUCACAUCAAGCACAGGAUUAAUAUCACCUUUAAUAUUUACUGAUAACUUCUCUCUAAGGAGUUCAUAGUAAUUGGGGACACAUCUCUGAAUCUUCUGUUUUCAAAAGAUCACUCUUUUCCUAUUUGAUUUCUAGAAUGUACCUGAGCUAAAGAUGGAUCACAUAGCUACUAAGCCUUUUCCAUGUAUUUAUUCACUUGACAGAUAUUUACUGUGCACCGAGUACAUGCUAGGUUCUAGAAAUACAGUGGCAAACAAGACAGACAUAGUGCUCUCCCAGGGCUUACUGUGAGGAACUCCUCAACACUUACUCUGGCGAGAGCUACAGUUAACUGUCCAUCAGCUCCCUCUUCACAGCCGACAGAAGAAACAAAAUCCCUCACUCGUGGAAAUCAUGAAAGACCCCCUGCUCAGAUUUUAUGUGAGCUUGCUUUUCUAAACGCAUCACUCAGAAAUAAGUUUAUCCACACACCAUAGUUCGAUCGCAGCAAGGUAGGUGAGUAGUCAUUCAUUCAUAACACUUACUUAGCUCUUACCAGGUUCUACUGUGCUUGGUACUUUCCAUAGACUGUAAUAUUGAAUCCCUUCAACAAUGUAGUAGGUUCCGUUUUAUAGACAAGAAAACUGAAGCACAGAUAUGUGACUUGUACAGGUCACACAGUGAGAAGAUGAAAUGGGGAUCUGAAACCAUGCAGGGUAACACAAGAGUUCAUGUGUCUAACCAUUAUCUGUGGUUUGGCGACACCAUUACAUUAAACAAAUGAGUCAUUAAAUGAGUCGCUGUAUAUAAAAGUACUUUGAAGUUGUAAAGUAGUAUACAGAAGGAUAACAGUGAAGUGUUAAGGCCAACAGUACAUCAGUGGCAGAAGCAGACUGAGAAUUCAGUCUUACAUUACAGCUUACUCGUGAAGAACACUUCAAGCCAGGGACAUGGAUAAAGUACAGAUUCCGAAAAACUUUGACAUGUGAUAAAUAUGUCAAAGACUUUUCAGAAUUACGUGUUAGCCACUGUGUCUAUUUGGUGCUACAAGAAACAAACAAAAUCCCUUGCUGUAAGGGCUUCUAAUAAAUACACAGUGUGAAGCUCAACCAAGGAUAUUUCACAUUUCCAGGGACAGAUCGGGCAAUAGUACUAUUUUCUCACCAUUGCAUGUGAUUGCGUCUUUCCAAUUGUUUUCUUUAUUUUUCUGAAAGAGCUGCAAAAUUGUGCAGUGGUUCAACCUGACCAAAGUGGUAUUAUGCUGCUGGGAAGUAAAAGUAUUAGACACCAGACUGGAAGUAUUGUCUUCAUUAUCAAAUGAUUUUUAAGUUCAUUUAAAACAUGGAUUAGGGGCAUCCGGGUGGCCCAGUCGAUUAAGCGUCUGACUCUUGGUUUCUGCUCAGGUCAUGAUCUCUGUGCCCACUGUGGAGUCUGCUUGAGAUUCUCCCCCUCUCUCCCUCUC